rnacentral:rRNA from 1 species
AGCUUAAGCAUGGCUGUCGUCAGCUCCCGUCGUGGUUAUGUUGGGUUAAGUCCCGUAACGAGCGCAACCCUUGUCCUUAGCUUACCAGCACGUUAUGGUGGGCACUCUAAGGAGACUGCCGGUGACAAACCGGAGGAAGGUGGGGAUGACGUCAAGUCAUCAUGGCCCUUACGGCCUGGGCUACACACGUGCUACAAUGGUCGGUACAGAGGGUUGCCAAGCCGCGAGGUGGAGCUAAUCUCACAAAACCGAUCAUAGUCCGGAUCGCAGUCUGCAACUCGACUGCGUGAAGUCGGAAUCGCUAGUAAUCGCGAAUCAGAAUGUCGCGGUGAAUACGUUCCCGGGCCUUGUACACACCGCCCGUCACACCAUGGGAGUGGGUUGCACCAGAAGUAGCUAGUCUAACCUUCGGGGGGACGGUUACCACGGUGUGAUUCAUGACUGGGGUGAAGUCGUAACAAGGUAGCCGUAGGGGAACCUGCGGCUGGAUCACCUCCUUA